UUCCAUCUCGACCACACUUUUGGCUCUAUUGCCUUGAGCUCAAUCUUUUCAAAAAAUAAUGCACAAUUCUUCGUAAUACAGAAGAUAUCUUUCUUUCCAUUUACCCGCAUGUUUAUGAUUCUAACUAACCAAAUACAAAAAAAUGUAAUAAUAUAAAAAUCUAGUACCUCAAGAUAAGCAUCCCAUACUCCAGGAGCAUUAGUGGUCACACAAUUACGUUAUUUGUCAUAGCCAAAUCCAUUAGUAUUUAACAAAUCAUAAACUGCUUGCCAAUCUUUCCUCAUCGUCUUUAUUCUAGAUUCAAUGUGAGGUCUAGCCAAAAUGCCCGAUUCUGGAAGUGAUUCUUUCAAGCAAGCUUCUAGGUGUUGUAAAAAACCUGGUUUAAAGCCAUUAUCAGACUUAUAUCUUCCAGUGUUGACCAUAUUUACUAAAGCCUCAACAAGCUUUUGAUCUUCAAGUUUACUCCAUCCUGGAUAGUUUCUUUUAUUACUCGUCAUUCUUGUAGGAAAAUAUGAACUAAAACAUAAAGGAUGUAUCAGUUAACUAUUAAUGCGAGUAAAAAAUAGAAGCACCAUCAUAAACAAAACCAAACAUUUAUAUACACUCUAAUUUAUAACAUUUCUAUGCAAUAAGGGUUGUACAUCCUGCUGUUGUGGUAUUCCCUGCAUAUUUGUGGUGUACCUCUUGGUUCAUGGGUUGUACUCUUCUUUUUGCAUACCACGUUUACCCAUGAGUCAGAUAAGAAACUAAUGGUUUUAGAGGAAUACCAUCAAACAUCAAAUCCUUCAUCCUUCUAUCAGAUUAGAUAGAAAAAUUGCAGGGGGGAAUCGAUUCUAUGGUUGUUUGAUGGCGGUGGGUUUAGCCGAAGAUGUAGAGAGGUUGUGUCGUGACGGUGGUUCUGCCACCGGUGAUCACCAUUUGGGCUCCGUUCCAACACAGUAGAUCAGAAACCACAAACCUCAUGUUAGAGUUUUCAUACGCAAAGAGUAAGAGACUAAGAGAGAGAAAGACCUUACGGUGUACAGAAGGAGAGAGACAGGCGAUGGGGUUUAGGGUUCCGCCUCCUCCCUGACCUUCUUCAAAACUAUUCAAAGAGAGAGAACAGCGUAGCGGCUCCGGAAUAGAGAGAGAAGGAUGACAGAUUAGAAUGCUUGCCUGCCACCGAUCUGCCGUUGAAAGGCGCAGAAGAACGAAAGGAGCAUAUUCCAACCUGAUUUCACUUGGGUUGUUUCCUCUGUAGCUUUCGAGGCAGCGCCCACUUCCAAUUUCAUCAGCAAUUGGAACAAAACAUGUGAUAUACAAACCGUUUCAUCAAGGUGAUUUCUAAUACCCAUACAUUUUUAGGUGAUUAAAAGACCUAAAUAAACUUUAUGGUGAAACAAAAUGGGUUGCAGGAGCAAAUUUUGGUUGUAGAUUGUUUAGGAGUUCUGGCUAGAACCAAUAAGGAGCAAUAAAGUUUUAGGAGCCGAUUGUCAUGUCAACAUUGGACAAAUCACUAGUUCUAAUAAGCUAAAGGAAUCUAUUGUUCUUUUGUGUUGGUGCCACUUUGGUAAGGUUUGGAAAUUCAACCAAGACCCAAGAAAGGCUCCGGGCGACUCAUGCGACUACAAAUGAUUCAUGAAGAUAAUUAGCUAAGCCUCAUUGAAGAUUCAAGCUUCCGAUGUGGAAUGAUGACGCAAGAAGAUUUCAAAUUUCAGCAUUGAAAAAUGAAAUUUGGGAAUUUUCGGGAUUGCUUUUCAUAUCACGAUUCAACCAUGGUGUGUAGGAAGGAUGCCACCUAUGUUAUCAUAAAGCUUGAUGUUUGAGGGUGAUUAUAUCAAAUGGGAAAAGAAAAGAAAUAUCAUUCCAUGGAAGUUGCUUAUGUAUAAAAGUGGAGAUCUUAAAUAGGAGAGGAUAAUGUUCGUGAACUUCCACUAGCUCAAGUUCCUAAGUUGGCUACAAAAGUUGAGUAGCAGCAAUGCGUCAAAACAACAAAGCAACCAUGAAGUUAAAAACUUCGCUUGAUGUCAUAUGCUAUAGCGCGUGUUGGCGAUGUUUCGACAUUCGUUGCCCGCGCCGCAACGCGUGCGGGGUCUAAUUUCUAGUUAUAUAUAAAAAGCAACAUUAUAAACAAAACUAAACAUUCUAUCAUAAAUAAUAGUUAAACAUACUUGCUCAUA